rnacentral:lncRNA from 1 species
AGCUGGAGUCAGGUAAGCAGAGGAGGAUGUGGGGCUUUCCCACCCGCAGCCUGGAAGCCCGUGUGUGCAGGGCAGGGCUGCCUCCCACGGCAGGGGCAGGCAGAGGCCUCUGCGCCAGGUACAGCCUAGGUACCGCCUACCCCCAUGGCUGACCCUGGGCCCCAAAUCCAGCGGGAGGCCUGGGAGCAUCUUCUCCGCCUGAGUCACCGGGCUGGGCCCAGGACCCCAGCCAAGGGCUUUGCCUCUGGGAAGAAAAGAGCUUUGGAGUCCAGCAAAACCUGGGAAGCAGGGGGAAGCUUCCCUAGCAGGUGCUAUUUGAGCAGAGGCCUGGAGGAGGGAGACUAGCAAUUAUUUGGUCUUCGAGGCAAGUUAGCACCACACAGAGACUCUUCUGGAUAUAAAGGAAAGACUGUAAAGAAUUUGCAGAGAGAAUAACUCUCGCUAUGUGACCCGAGGUGAUUUUAUGCUUUGCCUGUGCAGCCUAUAAAAUAAUCUUGUGUGGUCCCCAUGAUGCACAUCAACCAGGAGAUGCUGGAGAGUCUGAGACAGCGUGCUGGCAGCACUCUGCCGGGGGAAGGACACGGAGGUGUCCAGGCUCGGCUCCAAAAGCAGACAAGCCUGCACUGCGCUGGAGCAGGUGAGAAGUAGCUGGGUUCCACCGUGCCCUUUUCGUCUGUGUCCCUUGCCACCCAACACGAGCUCAGCACACAGUUGAUCUUCACUAACUAGUCACCCCUCCAAGCUUUUGCAAUGGUUGUUCCCUCUGCUAAAGAUACCCCCUUCUCCCACCUUGACCACCCGACUAACUCUUAAGCUCAGCUCCCAGGUGCCUCCUCCUCCUUCUUCUUGGUACAUGAGUGCCCCGCUUGGCAUUCGCUUAGGGGUGUCUAUACACACUAUUUCCUCUGCCUGGAGUAUCUUCUUCCAUGGGGCAGGGGUCAGUCAGCACCUUCUGUAUGCAAGGGACAGAAAGCCAGUCCCAACUGUUUUCAGCCAAAAAUGGGAAAGACAGUGGCUCACAUAACUAGAAAGUUGAAGGUGCCUAAUUUCAGGUACAGUGGGAUCCAGGAGUUCAAAGCCUGUCCAGCUCUGUGCUGCUUCCUGUCAGGCAGGCUUUUCCCUUGUUUUGUCCUCUUCUUCUCUAAGCGUUCACUUGCUCACUGUCCAUCCAAUGGAAAAUGGCAUCUCCUUCACAAAUCAUGGCCAACCCUGAAGUCCCAAGAUCAAGUUUCAUUGGGCAGGCUCAGUCAUGUGCCCAUCCCUGGACCAAUCACUAGAGCAAGACCCGGUCACAUGUCCACCCCUGGAGACAGAGGCCUCUGGGCACCCCCAGCCUCAUGGACUGAGAAAAGGGAAGAGGGGGUUCUUCAGUAGGAAGUCGAGGUGCUGUUACCUGAAAAUGGGAGAUAGAUGCUGACUUGUCCACACACCCGCACCUUCUCCCAGCAAACUCUAGCUCGUCUCUGCACAUUGUAUGACCUCAGGCCAACCCCUUCCCCUCUCUGGGUCUUAUGUUCCUCCUCCGGAAAAUGGGCAGGAGGCCGUUUGAAUUCCAACAUUCCAGAAUUCUGGGACAGCUUCCAGGACUGGAGUCAGCUCCCUAGAUCCCAGGAACGUUCCAGCACUUCUGGGGACGGAAGUGGAGCAUCAGCCAGAGCCCUCCCCGGCCCCCGGCCUGGGAACAUGUUUAGAAGAUGACAACUGGGCUCCCUUUGGCCGAAAUUCCACUCCCGUGGGGGCCUUGCCAAGGAAAAUAAGCCCAAGAACCAGGCAUUAAAGAGUACUACAGCCUGGGUAAUUUACAAAGAACAGAGAUGUAUUUCUAACAGUCCUGGAGGCCGGAGAGCCGAAGAUGGAGGGGCUCACUCAAGCAAGGGCCUUCUUGCUGUCAUCCCAUGGCGAGGGCAUCCCAUGGCAAGAGGUGGCACGUGAGACAGCAAGGAAUGGCCGAACUCACUUUCAUGACAAAUCCACUCUCUCCAUCAUGAAGCCACUCCUGCAAUAAUGAUACUAAUCCAUUCAUAAGGGCAGAGCUCUCAGGACCCAACCACCUCUUAAAGGCCCACAUGACCUUUGGGAGACACGCUGAGACCCUGGCGGUGCGGGGUGAGGACGUGGCCCCUCCCCAGGGCACUGUGGUUGUUUCUCACACAUAUGCCAGAUACUGCGCCUCGCAGCCACUUCGUCCCCAUUGCCUCAGUUUGAGGCCAAAAGUGACACAUCAGGCCACAGCCACCUACCCCGUCAGCCAUCUCAGCCUCCGUGACCUGAAGGGAAAUGAUGAAAGACUUUUCUAGAAAUAAAUGAUUUUUAAAACA